rnacentral:misc_RNA from 1 species
AAGUCGUAACAAGGUUUCCGUAGGUGAACCUGCGGAAGGAUCAUUACCGAGUUCGGGGUUUCCCCAACUCCCACCCUUGUUUACCUUGACGUUGCUUCGGCGAGACGUUGGAAGCAGCCAUCGGCAAUUUGUGACAAAUGCCCCGAUGCGUGCUCGCCGGACUCCAAAUACUCUUAGACUAUGUACAGUCAGAUGAAACAAGCAAUGUAUAAAAACUUUCAACAACGGAUCUCUAGGCUCUU